CCUGGCAACCCUGAACGCCAAACACAUUCAACCAUGCGGCUCAGCAGUUAGACUCGUCCCCAAAACAUGUUGGAAAUGCGGCUAAUGGACAGUUAAACCACCCGUCUGACACAUAAAUGGGGUCCAGUGGCUGCAAGCAAAGCAGUGUGACGCACCCCAAGGCAAGUCUACUCAUGGUGCUGCACUCCUGCACCUCCCAGUGGCCUGCUCGAUUAUGCUUCAAUCUCAAGCUUGCCAGACAUCUGUGUGUGAAGAUGGCCUUGAAAAGUCAUCAAGAGUUUAGGCGAAAAAGAAGAGUGCUUGUGCGUCGCUUGCAGAAAUGGAUAAACCAAACAGGAACCUGAACUUCAGCAUGCGAGCAGCCGAGUACUGUUAAACUUAGGGGAAUGGACCACACAGGGAGCGAGAACCUCAUUCCUGCAAGCCUGUGCCCAGAAACAGCAAAAGGAUUAUGUUUACAUUUAGAGUAUGUUGAUGCCACUGAGAACAUCAGGCUACAGGCUAACCAGUCAGAAACUGUUCUGAGGAUUCCUAUGAACAUGACAUUCCUCUGAAUCAAGUUUCUGUGGAAGACUUACCAUUUCCCUGUAAAGAGGAUCCAUAGUGAACCAGAGCGCUACAGCACAUCUCUGCCCUCUAGUGACAGCUCGCACACCAUGCGGGUUCUCACCACCCGAGGAGAAACCCACCAUCCUCCCACACCGCGGCUUUAUAGAUGCCUGUAAGAAAAGGAGCUGCCCUCUGUUUCCUUCUCUACUCUUCAACUGCUGAGAUUACCGCCAGGUCUCCCUCCCACAAUGCAUCAGAACAGAACCACUGUAAAGCAUGCAGCCUAGCCUCUAAGAGUUGGAGAAAUGGAAAGAAUCGCUGAGCAUGAUUGAGAAACGCAAGCGAGCCACAUUCCAGAAUGAGCUCAGUGCUGCUGGGUUUUUCACUGGAGACUCAGCCAAGCCACUUGCUCUGUAAUGAACAUGGGGGAAAGUGGCGUGCCUUACAGAGCAUAAUAGGCCUUCUGUGUCCAAGAACUUGGUAAAUAUAUGAACUGAGCUUUCUUACAUUCUGAAGUUUAGAUUUUUUUUAUAUUCAUGGCAGCAGAUUAUCCUGUGCUGAAUGAGGGAUCUGCUAGCUAGUAAUUUACUUUAUAAUAAUUAUAACGAUACUAUUACAAUUACACAGCCGAAUAUGGGUGUGGUAAUGUAUUAAACAGUUAAAUUUGAACUGGGUAAAUGUGAAUAGUAGUCAAUCUGUUUUUUAUAAAAUGAGCCAUUGUGAAUGAUAAAUGCUAACAAUGGACAAAUAAGCAAUAAACCUAGAAAGUGUUUGGUACGCGCAAACUCACGCAGCAGAAUACACAGUACGCGUGCACACUUUCUCUCUUUCUUUGCACCGCAUUUAAUAAAAGAGCUCAAGCCCCAUUAGAACAUGAAGUUAAUAAAGGUGUGGCUAUACAGAAUGCCCAGCCUCUUUGAUUAUUCUACCAACCGCACCAAAAACAUACUGAACCGUGGGGUUUAUGUGAACUGAACCAUGAUUUUUUUUUUACCAGAUGAGACUACUCUUCAUGAAAGUUGGUAAAUGAAAAACCCUUGAAUGUGUUGGAUGGGCAGUUUACCUUCGACACUAGAGUGUAUGAUGCUUAAAAAUUACACCGUUUAAAAAAAUUGGAAACUUAAAAAUUGCUUAUUGUGUAAGAUUGUUUGCGUCCACUAAACUGCAAUGUGUACUGUUUCCCAUCUGCAGGUUAAAACUUCUCCUAUCAAAUGAUGUUCCAAGCCUUGGAGGCUUCUAUCAUGAACUCAUGAUCCCUCACAUUUGAUGAGCAGCAGUGAAUUUAAUUUCUGUCCUUUUUUGGAAACAAAUGUAAUUUUUUUUAGCUUCUUACUGUUUUACUGUUGACAAACUACAAAACAAAACUAAACUGAAAAAACUGGGUUAACAGUGAGGCUUGCUACAUCAUAGCAUACACAAUAAUAUUAUAAUUUUUGAAACAAUAAAAAUAAAUCCAUAUCAUAA